AAAGACAUCAAACUAGUCGGUUUUAAUGGGGAACAGCCAUUAAAAGUAAUGGGGAAAAUUCGGUGUAAAUCCGACGCUGUCCCGCAACUGUGAUGAGACGAGCGACCCCGCGUCGGACGUGGCGUACAAGCUUUUGAGGAGACCUCAAAAGACAGCCACUCCGUAAGACGCUCAGGGAACGCGCGAGAUGAUUAACUAAUAAAUCUCAAUAAAUCUCUUAGUCAGGAUGCCCGCCGAUGCCAGUAUAGAGGUA
rnacentral:ncRNA from 1 species